UCGAGGAUCAUUCGCAAUGGGCGAAAGCCUGACGAUGCGACGCUGCGUGGAGGAUGAAGGCCCUCGGGUUGUAAACUCCUGUCAUGAGGGAAGAGGAGAGUGUCACUAACAUUGACGCGAUUUGACGGUACCUCAAGAGGAAGCCACGGCUAACUCUGUGCCAGCAGCCGCGGUAAUACAGAGGUGGCGAGCGUUGUUCGGAUUUACUGGGCGUAAAGGGCGCGUAGGCGGCCGCGUGUGUCGGGUGUGAAAUCCCAGGGCUCAACCCUGGAAGGGCGGCCGAAACUGCAAGGCUCGAGUGCGGGAGGGGAGAGCGGAAUGCAGGGUGUAGCGGUGAAAUGCGUUGAUAUCCUGCAGAACACCGGUGGCGAAGGCGGAUCUCUGGAACGCAACUGACGCUGAGGCGCGAAAGUCGGGGGAGCAAACA
rnacentral:rRNA from 1 species